rnacentral:rRNA from 1 species
UACAGAGGUCCCGAGCGUUGUUCGGAUUUACUGGGCGUAAAGGGCGCGUAGGCGGCCACCGCAAGUCGACUGUGAAAUCUCCGGGCUUAACCCGGAAAGGUCAGCCGAUACUGCGGGGCUAGAGUGCAGAAGGGGCAACUGGAAUUCUCGGUGUAGCGGUGAAAUGCGUAGAUAUCUGGAGGAACAUCGGUGGCGAAGGCGACGAUCCUGGACCGGUAUUGACGCUGAGGCGCGAAAGCCAGGGGAGCAAACGGGG